CAUGAGUGUGGUGAGGACUGAAUGACUAUGCUAUUGAAAGACUAGUCUAGGGAAUUAAGGGUAGUCAAUGUUCUUACAGUCUGAAAGCAAAAAUAAAAGAUGGACAGUGUGCUUUCUUCUCAGAACAAAAUCCUUUGUCGCUAAAUAUAAAGGUAUUUGCUCUAAUUGGUAAUUAAUACUAAUUUUUGCAUGGAAAGGCUGGUUUUGGUGGUUGAAGCUUUACAUCAGAUAUCUUGUCUACUUGUACAACCUCACAAUAUUUAUAUUGCCUUAAAUUACUUGAUCACUGCAUUAUUGGCCUUCACUUGCAUAUGUUCUGCUGUUCACAAGAAAUGCAUAGUGGCGGAGAGGUCCCUUAAAUGGAGGCAGCCUUGGCUUCUUCUUGGUGUCUGUGGAGUAAAGCCAGCACAACUUGUUCACUUGCUCCCUCUGCUAUGACAAGGAAAUAAUAGUAUGCUGUCCCUUUUUCUGGCUCACUUGCUGAAGCACACUGGCCUUUCUCUAGUUCUGAAUGCUGUGCUGCAGUCAGGAUUUUACAGGAUGCUAGAGAAACUGGCAGGUCGCUACAAGCUAGGCAAAUGGAAGUUGGUCACAAUUUUCCUUGAGGGGUUUCAGUGAAACAGCUGACAACAAGAAGGGUUCUUAUGCAGAUCACAAGGAACUUGAAGAGACACCAAAGCCCCAGAUAAGACAGAAAGACCUACAGAGACACAUGAAUUUUGGAAUAGAUGAGGCUGGAUCUAAGAAUUCUACUGACACUUUCAAAGUCUGAGGAUAGCAGAUAAUAAGAGAUCCUGAAAGUGCUAUGUUUUACACCUCCUCAUGAAGCUCUGGAGUGCUAGAGGUAACAACUAUGAAAAUAAUAAUGUAAUGAUUAAGAAUGUUAACUAUUAAGAAUAUUAUUUACAAAAGCCUGCAAAUGAGUUGUCAUAGGCCACAGUAGUUCAGGUAGGAGCAGAGAUACUGUUAAUUAACUGAAAUUGUUAAUUAACACACACAUGAGUACAUCAGGUGAUGAAUGUGCCAUUGGCUACACAGGCAGGGAAUCCUGGCUCCUUCCAGAUCUGCAUAGAAAUGGUAACAGGGCAAGUCAGUGCAGAAGACAAAGAGUGGGAAACCAAGUUUCUCAGAGUAUAUGAUAGGGUAUUUUGAAUUUACAGCAAAAAGUGUUCACUGUUUUCAGCAUUGGUGGGUGAAGAAAUAGGUAAUACCUGCAGCAUACAGCCUCUGCUGCCCAUGGGGGAUAAAUGCAGGAUAUGGCUAGAUCUGUUUCCAGUAAAUCAAUUAACUGUAUUUUUUGUUCAUUGCUCGAUUAGAGACUGGCAUCAGGAGAAACAAAAAGACAGAGGCUGACAGAAUGUGAUGUGUGGGAUAAAAAGUGUCAUUCUUUACUCUUAAGUAACUUUUCUCUAAUACCUGUAUUUGUGCAUCUCACUGCCAUUGACUCCUGUCUGACGGAUGUUAUUUUCUUUUGCUUGCUUUAUAGCUGUUCAGCACUUUUAUUGCCCUGCCAUCUGUUCUGAACAGUUAAAGACACUUUUAUUCUCCAUUUUUCUUCAGGGAUGUAGAAGAGGCAUCUGUCUCCAAACACUUAAAAUCUCUCAAUAUACAUUGUGCAAAUUAUUUAUGCACAAUAAGUCAGACACCUUUUCAGAAGGAUUUAUGGAUGUCUGACAAAAGUGUAAUUUGCUUACACCUUUAAAUAAAACAUUGUUGACAUUUGGCAUACA